AGAGGAAGCCACCCAGGAGCCAUGGUCCCUGCCUUAUGGGGUCACGUUGGGCCAAAGCCUCUGCUUCCUUGCUGAAAAUUAAAUGAGGUGACACCACCCCACCACCAUGGGGCCUGGUGGAUUCAGUCCUCUGACAAAUACCCACCGAGCAUCUCCUAUGUGAGAGGUGUGCUUUUAGGGGCUGAGGCUGCUGUCCUGAGCAAGAUAACAAAGUCCCCAGCUUCUUGGACUGGACAUAGCCAUGGCAUGAGGCAGACAGGAAGCAAAAUACCACUAUGAGGACAAUGCAAGGCUGAGGGUGAGCAGAGAACCCUCUGUCUGUGCAGAGUGGCUAACACCAGGAGGAAGAAGAGUUGGAGCCCAGUGCCUUGGCUCCUGGACUUGGCUGUGCCCUGUCACCCUCCCUCGGACCUGGCAGCCCAGCCGUGGUGCAAUCUCUCACGGCAUGUGAGAGCUGGCCCUGUGUCUGGACUUCACCCGGCCAGCUGGUUAGACUCAACAGCUGCAGGGGAACCCACUGUACUCCCUCCUCCAGUCAACUGUCAAAACCACCAGCGAGGAGACCCCCGAGCCACACGGAAACCUCUCAGCCGAGCACUGGGUAAAUCUCACCACCCGACCCUCCUCACAGCCAGCCCUGACUACCAGGGACAUUGUGGGUGUGGUGGAGGAAAAUGGAAACGUCCACUGAGUGCAUAAAUCUAAAGAGGGGUCCUAGAAAGAGCCAACAAUUGUGUUAGAGGUGGGAGAGUGUGGGGUAGCUGGCUUCUCCCGUAAUGCUUUUUAAUGUAGUUGUAACUGUAGCAGGAUCUUUUCUUUUUAAUCCAGAGGAACAACCCAUUCACCCCCUCUCCAUCCUUUGAUUCUCAGCUGAAUCCACCUGUUGGAGAAGGAGAUUGGCUAUUGCCACUCACUAGUUGCCAUGGGAACCCUCUCCCACCAGAGAAACGCAUAGGUGCGAGUGUGAGGUAAUGUGGCCCCAGCCCCACCCGCACGGGCUUCCUCUGCCCCUUCUCUUCCAGCCCGCAAAGCCAAAGAAGGCAGCUGCUCAGGAAAGUGAGGAGGCGCUGUCCCCGGCCACACAGACGCAGGGCAGGGCGUCUGGAUCGUGGCGAGUGUUCUGAGACACAGGCCUCAUUAGUACUCGGGCAGGGAGAGGCUGACAGGUCAGGAGGUGACUGCUGCGAGAGAUUGUUCCUCACUGUUCCCAAGAGGAGGGGACACAGUGGCAUGCAGGGUCGCAGGAGGAGGUGCCAGGACAGGGCGGGAGGCAGAGGCGGGGAGCGCUGGGUGAGGGCCA
rnacentral:lncRNA from 1 species